rnacentral:tRNA from 1 species
ACUAUUUUGGCAGAUUAGUGCAAUAAAUUUAGAAUUUAUUUAUGUAAUUAUUAUUACAAAUAGUA